AGAACCUGAAACCGUGUGCUUACAAGUAGUCAGAGCCCGUUAAUGGGUGAUGGCGUGCCUUUUGUAGAAUGAACCGGCGAGUUACGAUUUGAUGCAAGGUUAAGCAGUAAAUGUGGAGCCGUAGCGAAAGCGAGUCUGAAUAGGGCGUUUAGUAUUUGGUCGUAGACCCGAAACCAGGUGAUCUACCCUUGGUCAGGUUGAAGUUCAGGUAACACUGAAUGGAGGACCGAACCGACUUACGUUGAAAAGUGAGCGGAUGAACUGAGGGUAGCGGAGAAAUUCCAAUCGAACCUGGAGAUAGCUGGUUCUCUCCGAAAUAGCUUUAGGGCUAGCCUCAAGUGAUGAUUAUUGGAGGUAGAGCACUGUUUGGACGAGGGGCCCCUCUCGGGUUACCGAAUUCAGACAAACUCCGAAUGCCAAUUAAUUUAACUUGGGAGUCAGAACAUGGGUGAUAAGGUCCGUGUUCGAAAGGGAAACAGCCCAGACCACCAGCUAAGGUCCCAAAAUAUAUGUUAAGUGGAAAAGGAUGUGGCGUUGCCCAGACAACUAGGAUGUUGGCUUAGAAGCAGCCAUCAUUUAAAGAGUGCGUAAUAGCUCACUAGUCGAGUGACACUGCGCCGAAAAUGUACCGGGGCUAAACAUAUUACCGAAGCUGUGGAUUGUCCUUUGGACAAUGG
rnacentral:rRNA from 1 species